CUGCGGGUGUAGGCAAAGAGGAGAAAUUCAGUGCUGACAAAUAGUAGGGCCUGUAACCAGGGAGAACAAAGAAAUCGCGUACUUGCAACACCCAUUGCGCUAACGCGAGUUUAAUCUUGUCUCACGAGUACCGUUGCAAAAUUCCUUUUGUGUGGAGCCCGGCCAGCUCCUGUCGUUGCUUCAGGGAAGGUGUUGGGAGUCGGAAAGUGGGUCUCCAGGAAGAUGGUUUUCUGAAGUGGUUGAAACUAGAAGAAAAACAUUUUGAAAAUCACUGCGCUGUUCGUUUUUAUAACGCUCUCAGCGCUAAGGGUUAUCUCCCCCGAUCCUUCAAUUUCGAUCUUACACAAGUAACACGUCAUUCAAGGAUGGUCACUUUAGGCAUCUUCCUUUCCCAGUUGACUGUCCGUCCCAUAACUAUUAGCAGCAAUCAUAAUAUGAGGGAAAUUAAAAGACAAGUUUACUCUUAUUUCCAGUAUUAAAGUAUAGGCUAAGUAUGAAUAAGAAGAAUAGGGGUAGUAAAACAGGAGUGGAAUUCAAUACACAUCUCACUGAAUUAAAAUCUUUUAUAUACAACAAAAACAUUUUUUAAGAUUUUAAAACAGACUAUACAAGUCCUUUGUACCAAGAAAUCCAGAACAAGAAAACUCUGGGGGUGAGAAGUGAAUUUUUAUGUUGCUCUAUUCUGUUUUACUUUGAUGUUUCUUUCUUUAUUUUUGGGUGCCUAGUGCUUCAGCCUGGGUUAUGCAUAUACAUGCCAUUAUACACUUGCAAAUUCAAAAUCGUUUCUUUUAAUCCAUUUAAAUCUUUUUUCUAAAUAUUGUGCCCGGUAUCUGUAGCAAAAAAUCAGUAAAAUUGUCCGGUAGAUUGUUUUUAUAUAUUAGUAUUUUUGAGGGGGAAAGUAUAGAGAAUAAGUGUUUAUACCAUAAUAUAAAUUUAUUGCUGACCAAAUUUCUUUUUGAAUAAGCUUUCUAAAACAAUUUGAGAACAUAAUUUAAAUGUUUUUUUCACAUUUGAAAACUAGGUCAAGAAAUAGCUCUUAGUCUGAAACUGUUGAAUUGUAAAGGGCAUUUUUUCCCCUAAAAAAAGUGUUUAUAGAUGAGCUCAAUCUCUGGAGAGAAAAAAGAGGGUGAUAGUGACAGUGCUGACAACCUUAACCAUAGCCUUGGAUGACUUUUCUAUAUAUUGUAAAGGGUGUAAUGAGGAAAGAGGAGGGAAAGUCUCCAUGGAAAAUUCACGUUGAACAUUAUUGUUUAAGUUCUACUGAAGUAGAACUGCCAACAGUAUUAUCGAGCUGUACUGGGACUGCAAUGCUUCCACAUGGGUGGCAAUCCAUGUAUUGUAAGGCUGGCUCUGCACACAAUGCAACACAGGAAAUUUGGAGUUACAUCUCUAUUUUGGACUUUAAUUCACUUUGCGUUGUCUAGAUAUUGAAGAAAAUCUUAGGAUAAAGGUGCUCUUACUAAGAAUCUUAUCUGUGUUUUCCUUCAGGCAGAGAAACAUAGGGACACACUGGAGGAUACAUUUUUAAAAGCUGAUCUUUUUUUGUUAUUGCUAGUUUAUUGCUCAGUUAAAGUAAUACAUUGAUAAGAUGGCUUGAUGCAGUCAUUUAGUUCCUGGUGGAAAGGAAUCAAUACAGGGAGUGAGGUAUUUAAUUAUUUACCAGGCAGUGCAGCUUGUUUUUUCCACUGGUCAGAUUAAAAAGACACUGUUCUUUCUUCAGACCAAUCCAAACAGAAAAGGAUUAGAGCUUCUGUUAACUCCUCAUAGGAUAGAUCUUCCUACAGUUCACAGGCCUACCAUCCUAUCUCCUUGCUGCCAUUUAUGCACAGACUAGUGCAGGGAGUCGGGUGCCUGGUGCAGUUAAGCUAGUACACCAUCCUAUAAGGAUCCCUGUUGAUUCACUAAACCUAAUUGUUGAAUUGCUGGCAACGGUUUCAGAGUUUCUUUCUUGGGGGAACGGGAGUAGGAAGAAAAAACAAAGAAACACCUACCCUGGACUGUUAACCACAACUUCCAGACAAAAAAGAACCAACCGUAAUGGUCUUCUGCUGGAAGCUCAUAGAUCCAGUCAAGUUCUAAAAAACCCUUUGUAGGUACUUCCAUCUGCUUUGUAUCUUCCUUUGCCCAUGUUGUCUUUUUGGAAAGCAGAUGGGCAUUGCGCAGGCCAGGCGCAAUGCUAAAAUGGAGAGAGCAGGUAUAACGGAGGGCAGGUAUUCUGCUGAAGAGAGCUGUGUUCUGAGCUCAAAACUGUGAGUCUCCUGAGUUCUGAUCCCAGCAAUGACACUUAUGCCCUUUGUGGCCUUGGGCAAGUUACUGAAAACUCCUUGCCUCAGUUUACCUAUCUGUAAUGGUGAUGAUACUCAGAGUGUUGUGAAUAUUAAUGAAUUAAUGUUUAUAAGGUAUUUUAAAUGUGAAAAGAGUUAAGAAUUAUUCUAAUAAAAAGGGAAGGAUAACCCUUGUAGGUGGAGGCAGGGAAACUAAUUAAAAUUGGAACAUAUACUCUCAAGUAAUUAAAAGAACAUACAGACUGUAGGUCAGCAACAUAUUCUUUAUUGUGCAUUUCUGCUAAGUACAGACUUAAAAUGGCUGUGCUUACUUUUUAAGGCAGACUGUGAAAAUUUACUAUAUGUCCUAUGAAGAGCUACGCUGAAUACAAGACGUAUAAUACUCACUCUCAUAAGCAGUUUACUACUGGGUGACCUUCUGCUGUUUAUUCUAAGGGAGUCCACAUACUGACUAGUUAGUACAAAGAAGAUAUAAAAUGAAAUGCAAACUAUGGCUCAGGAAAUAGAUGGCUAUCCCCACCCUUAGCAGUUAUUUGAAACACAGGCCCAGAUAGUCUCCUCCUGUAACAAAGUCCACAGGAGGAUUUUGGAAAAUAUCUGCGGGGACCCCCUUGGGGAGAUUCUCUCUCCUCCCACUCACACAUAUACUGUUGGGGGAAGAAAUUGCCCGCCCUUGGGGAGGGAAAGCUGCUGUCCUGCCCCCAAACACAGUGGGUCCAUGUCCACUUUUGUCCCAGCAUGCCAGUCCCUGCUUCUUGAAUGCAUGACUCCAGUGGAGCCACACUGCCAGAGACUGAGCACAAAUGUCCUGCCUGAGGGCUCUUAAAAAAAGAUAAUAUAGCCCCCAGGUGGCCAUAUGGGACUGGAAACGGGGGAUGACUUCUAUGACUGGACUUGUUACUAGCCUGCCCAGCACCUCACCUCAUCCCACCCCACCCCACCCCUUCGCUCUCCAGCCCUUCCCUCAAUACAGUCCCGAAAUCAUGGAGAGCCUUUUAUAUUAUCUAGAGAAGAGGGGCACAUGGUGCCAUGGAGGCAAUUGAACCCCUCUCCCACACAGGGGAAGGGAGAGAGUUCCAUACAGCCGGUAAUUUCUUUUUAUGUAUCUUCAGUGUUUACAAGGGAUCUAUCAUAAUCUGCAAGCAGUCUACAAUAAUGAAGUCAAUGUCAAACUGAAUUUGUGAGUGGUAGGCUUCAUCGCUCCAGAUGAAAGAAUUAUUUAUUAUGUGCAAGACACUCCAACUGGAAACUGGCAGUUUCUCCCUCUCUCUGUGUGUUAUCCCUGCCUGAGGGGAAAUGAUGAAGGCCUUACAUUUCUAGGGUCAUGAAGCCAUAGAUUGGCUAUCUGGACAGUGCCAAGGAACGAUUCAACUUCCAGCUCAGUAGGUGCAGAAUGACUGUGGAAUGUGCUUCUGGUCGACUGAAGGGACACUGGUGGUAUUUACUCACUAGCUUAGAUCUCAGUGAGAAAAACAUCCCAAUGGUUAUAGCUGGAUGUUGUGUACUGCGUAAUAUAUGUGAGGUAAAGAGCAAAAAGCUGCUGUUGGGGUGGAGGUACAAGGUGAAGUGGCUGUCCGCUAAAUAUGAGCAGUCAGACACCUGGGCUAGUAGAAGAACCCAACAUAGAGCUAUGUGUUUGAAGCAGGCUUUAAAGGUUCAUUUGCAUUGUCUGCCACAGUAGCAUUCUCUCUUGCUGGCUUGAGAUAGUCUGUCUUGGAUAAUUUAAAUAAUGUAUUUUGGGGGGGUUUUGCCUGCUGGUGUCUGUUGUGUUGUGCCUUCUGCAAAUGAUAAAUACUGCUGGACCUGGGGCUUUGCUUGCUGCUAUGAAUUGUGUGGACCUUGCUGUAAAUUUAUAAAUAUGGCUGGGUGUUUUCCUGACACUGAAUACUGUGGUGCAUGGUGUGUGUUUAUAGAUA